UUUCGACGCAACGUUAGCUACUGAAGCCAUUAGGUUGAAGGCACGUCUGCCUGGGCGUCACGC
rnacentral:rRNA from 1 species